rnacentral:hammerhead_ribozyme from 1 species
CUCCUGCUGAGGAGUCCCACAAUAGGACGAAACGGCCAUCCAAUAC